rnacentral:lncRNA from 1 species
AUGGAAGAUCCAGGCCCUAAUUCCUGGGCGAGGAAUCAGCCCUCGCGCGGCGGCACUGCCUGCCACCACCUCGGGUCGCAGCCUGGAGGUGCGCAGCACGACGGAGGAGAGGUGCUGCCAGGAGAGGAAAACGUGGCCAAAGCUUUUGAUAACACCAGGGAGCAGGGGCAGGAAGACAGGAGCAGCACCCGAGCAUCCUGGCAAGAACACCCGAAGCGGGCUGGCAGCACCCCCGGCCGUGCCCGGGCUGCUGAAAGGCAAAACCCCGCCGGGCUCCCAGCCCAUUUCGGGAGCAAUCACACCGCAGCCUGCGCUAAUUUUCGCAGAGCGCUGCAUGCGUUACCCCACGUUGUCACAUUUCCUUUUACACACCCUCCCACCCAUCCAACCAGGCUUAUAAACACCGAAAAAAAAACCUAAAAAUUUAUUGUGUUCCUAGAGCUCAGGCGCUGAAGUUGUGAAAUGAGAGUUCCUUUGAUCGUUUCGGAUUUUUGACUGUAACUAAAAGAUAAAAAAUAGUUCUAAGAUUGUAUUUAAGAAACUGAUACUGCGAAAGAAGCUAAAUAUUCCUGGAGAAGAGAACUUCAACACACACAAGGAACAUCACAGUUACACACAGCUACUUUUCUAGGAACCCCAAGGUCCUUCCCGGGACUCUGCUGAGGUUUCUGCUCUCCCACGGAACAUCACAGGGAAAAACCACACACCAAAACCCUCCAGUAUCACCUUGCAAAGCAGUACCUACAGCACAGAUACUCUUAUUCCUACUAUCACAACACGAAGGAGGCAGGGAAGCAUUUUCUGCUGUGAAACACUUCCCCAACACAAACCCCUGCACACUGAAGAGACUCUUUUUUUUUUUUUUGCAUUUCUCAGCUCACAACGCACGCGGCAUUAUUUGCUAUUCCCUCGCUCCCUCUGCAGCUGCACGUCUGCCAUCAGGGCUCACUCCAGGUCCGCAGGAAGAGGGAAGGAAGGAGGUUCCCAACUUGUCUCAUGACUAUUGAUUAGCUCCACAAUUCCCUGGAAGCGUUUUCCCUCCCCCAACUGUUGAUAUCAAGGCCUUCAACUCGGAUUCCAAGCUUCGAACCCGAGGCUCCUGGACUCGAUGGAAGAUCGUUAAAAAAAACCUAAGGGCAGUUCAGGUAACUUUUGUUGUGUCUGGAGCACGGCACUCGUCCCUCCUGCACCCACACUGUGAACACACCGUGAGGGUCGGUGCCCUGCACACCACAGCCAGGACCUUUUAAUGUCGCAGGUGGCAACAAGGAGCAGCAAUCCCACCCCAUCCCUUCCCCCUGCACCCCCCUAACCCCCCUGCUUUCUAUUUCCCACCAUUAAAUCGCAUCUUUCCCACAUUUUUUCCUUGACUUGCAGCUUCCCUGACUACCUCAGCCUCUCCUUUUCACCCGGGACAGCG